AGCGGUAAGGCCCUUUCGGGGGUACACGAGCGGCGAACGGGUGAGUAACACGUGAGUAAUCUGCCCUUCACUUCGGGAUAAGCCUCGGAAACGGGGUCUAAUACCGGAUACGACACUUUUACGAAUGUAAUGGGUGUGGAAAGUUUUUUCGGUGGGGGAUGUGCUCGCGGCCUAUCAGCUUGUUGGUGGGGUAAUGGCCUACCAAGGCUUCGACGGGUAGCCGGCCUGAGAGGGUGACCGGCCACACUGGGACUGAGACACGGCCCAGACUCCUACGGGAGGCAGCAGUGGGGAAUAUUGGACAAUGGGCGGAAGCCUGAUCCAGCAACGCCGCGUGAGGGAUGACGGCCUUCGGGUUGUAAACCUCUUUCAGCGGGGACGAAGCGCAAGUGACGGUACCCGCAGAAGAAGCACCGGCCAACUACGUGCCAGCAGCCGCGGUAAUACGUAGGGUGCGAGCGUUGUCCGGAAUUAUUGGGCGUAAAGGGCUCGUAGGCGGUUUGUCGCGUCGGGAGUGAAAACGCCGGGCUUAACUCGGUGCUUGCUUUCGAUACGGGCAGACUAGAGGCAUGCAGGGGAGAACGGAAUUCCUGGUGUAGCGGUGAAAUGCGCAGAUAUCAGGAGGAACACCGGUGGCGAAGGCGGUUCUCUGGGCAUGUCCUGACGCUGAGGAGCGAAAGUGUGGGGAGCGAACAGGAUUAGAUACCCUGGUAGUCCACACCGUAAACGUUGGGCGCUAGGUGUGGGAUCCAUUCCACGGGUUCCGUGCCGCAGCUAACGCAUUAAGCGCCCCGC
rnacentral:rRNA from 1 species